CACUGUUACCAUAGUGCCUUUUCCCCAGUAGUCGAAAGCCCAGUUUGUGUCUCUGGCACAGUAAUACACAGCAGAGUCUCCAGGCUGCACGCUCUGUCCGUUCAGAGUCACUGUGUUGCUGGAAGAGUCUAAGUCGAUACUGAACUUGCUCUUCAGUGAAUCUUU